rnacentral:rRNA from 1 species
AGUGAACGCUGGCGGUAGGCCUAACACAUGCAAGUCGAACGGCAGCACAGUAAGAGCUUGCUCUUACGGGUGGCGAGUGGCGGACGGGUGAGGAAUACAUCGGAAUCUACUUUUUCGUGGGGGAUAACGUAGGGAAACUUACGCUAAUACCGCAUACGACCUACGGGUGAAAGCAGGGGAUCUUCGGACCUUGCGCGAUUGAAUGAGCCGAUGUCGGAUUAGCUAGUUGGCGGGGUAAAGGCCCACCAAGGCGACGAUCCGUGGCUGGUCUGAGAGGAUGAUCAGCCACACUGGAACUGAGACACGGUCCAGACUCCUACGGGAGGCAGCAGUGGGGAAUAUUGGACAAUGGGCGCAAGCCUGAUCCAGCCAUACCGCGUGGGUGAAGAAGGCCUUCGGGUUGUAAAGCCCUUUUGUUGGGAAAGAAAAGCAGCAGGUUAAUACCCUGCUGUUCUGACGGUACCCAAAGAAUAAGCACCGGCUAACUUCGUG